AUCGCUUCUCGGCCUUUUGGCUAAGAUCAAGUGUAGUAUCUGUUCUUAUCAAUUUAAUAUCUGAUAUGUUCUCUGAGAACUAUAUAUUAAAUGGAUUUUUGGAAAUAGGAGAUUGACUAAGGGCUUGCUUUAUCCACUCCAUGCAUCAACCUGGUAUUGCAGUACCUCCAGGAAUGGUGCCCCUCUC